CCCACUGAGCACCUUGUGACCCCCACCUCUGCCCACCAGAGAACAACCCCCUUUGACUGUAAUUUUCCAUUACCUUCCCAAAUCCUAUAAAACGGCCCCACCCCUAUCUCCCUUUGCUGACUCUUUUCAGACUCAGCCCACCUGCACCCAGGUGAAAUAAACAGCUUUAUUGCUCACACAAAGCCUGUUUGGUGGUCUCUUCACACUGAUGUGCAUGAAAUUUGGUGCCGUGACUCGGAUGGGGGGACCUCCCUUGGGAGAUCAAUCCCCCGUCCUCCUCCUUUUUGCUCUGUGAGAAAGAUCCACCCAUGACCUCAGGUCCUCAGACCCAGCAGCCCAAGAAACAUCUCACCAAUUUCAAAUCUGGUAAGCGGACUCUUUUUACUCUCUUCUCCAACCUCCCUUCUCACUAUCCCUCAACCUCUUUCUCCUUUCAAUCUUGGUGCCACACUUCAAUCUCUCCCUUCUCUUAAUUUUAAUUCCUUUCAUUUUCUGGUAGAGACAAAGGAGACACGUUUUAUCCGUGGACCCAAAACUCCGGUGCCGGUCACGGACUGGGAAGGCAGACUUCCCUUGGUGUUUAAUCCUUGCAGGGACGCCUCUCUGAUAAUUCACCCACGUUUCAAAGGUGUCAGACCACUCAGGGACGCCUGCCUUGGUCCUUCAUCCUUAGCGGCAAGUCCCGCUUUUCUGGGGAAGGGGCAAGUACCCAAACUCCUUCUCUCCUUGUCUCUACCCCUUCUCUGCUUUCCUGGGGCAGGGGCAAGUACCCCUCAACCCCUUCUCCUUCACCCUUAGCGGCAAGUCCCACUUUCCUAGGGGGCAAGAACCCCCCAAUCGCUUAUUUCUGCACCCCAAUCCGUUAUUUCCGCACCCUGACCUCUUACCUCUGUGCCCCAAUCCCUUAUUUCCGUGCCCCAACCCCUUCUCUGCUUUUCUGGAGGGCAAGAACCCCCCACCCCUUCUCCGUGUCUCUACUCUUUUCUCUGGGCUUGCCUCCUUCACUAUAGGUAAGCUUCCACCUUCCAUUCCUCCUUCUUCUCCCUUGGCCUGUGUUCUCAAAAACUUAAAACCUCUUCAACUCACACCUGACCUAAAACGUAAAUGCCUUAUUUUCUUCUGCAAUGCCGCUUGACCCCAAUACCAACUCGACAGUAGUUCCAAAUAGCCAGAAAAUGGCACUUUGAAUUUUUCCAUCCUGCAAGAUCUAAAUAAUUCUUGUCGUAAAAUAGGCAAAUGGUCUGAGGUGCCUGACGUCCAGGCAUUCUUUUACACAUCAGUCCCUUCCUAGUCUCUGUGCCCAGUGCAACUCGUCCCAAAUCUUCCUUCUUUCCCUCCCGCCUGUCCCCUCAGUACCAACCCCAAGCGUCGCUGAGUCUUUCUAAUCUUCCUUUUCUACAGACCCAUCUGAUCUCUCUCUUCCUCCCCAGGCUGCUCCUCGCCAGGCCGAGCUAGGUCCCAAUUCUUCCUCAGCCUCUGCUCCUCCACCCUAUAAUCUUUUUAUCACCUCCCCUACUCACACCUGCUCCGGCUUACAGUUUCCUUCCGUGACUAGCCCUCCCACUCCUGCCCAGCAAUUUACUCUUAAAAAGGUGGCUGGAGCUAAAGGCAUAGUCAAGGUUAACGCUCCUUUUUCUUUAUCCCAAAUCAGAUAGCGUUUAGGCUCUUUUUCAUCACAUAUAAAAAUCCAGUUCAGUUCAUGACUUGUUCGGCAGCAACCCUGAGACACUUUACAGCCCUAGACCCUAAAAGGUCAAAAGGCCGUCUUAUUCUCAAAAUACAUUUUAUUACCCAAUCUGCUCCCGACAUUAAAUAAAACUCCAAAAAUUAAAUUCCGGCCCUUAAACCCCACAACAGGAUUUAAUUAACCUCACCUUCAAGGUGUACAAUAAUAGAAAAAAGUUGCAAUUCCUUGCCUCCACUGUGAGACAAACCCCAGCCACAUCUCCAGCACACAAGAACUUCCAAACGCCUGAACUGCAGCAGCCAGGCAUUCCUCCAGAACCUCCUCCCACAGGAGCUUGCUACACGUGCCGGAAAUCUGGCCACUGGGCCAAGGAAUGCCCGCAGCCCGGGAUUCCUCCUAAGCCGCGUCCCACCUGUGUGGGACCCCAAUGAAAAUUGGACUGUUCAACUCACCUGGCAGCCACUCCCAGAAACCCUGGAACUCUGGCCCAAGGCUCUCUGACUGACUCCUUCCCAGAUCUUCUUGGCUUAGCGGCUGAAGACUGACACUGCCCGAUCACCUCGGAAGCCCCCUAGACCAUCACGGCGGACGCCGAGCUUCAGCCAGCAAGAAGGCAGGCCCUCAGCUGAAUGGCCACAAGGAAAUAAAUUCUACCAACACUGUGAGAAAAUUUGGAUAUGGAAUCAUCCUCAGUCAAGCCAUCAGAUGAAAACACAGCCUGUCAAAUACCUUGAUUAUAGCCUUUUGAGACCCUAACCAGUCAGGAAUCUAAGAGACCAGUAAAAGAUAACCUUAUGAUACAUUAUGUGCUGUUGCAUUUCUACUCUUUCCGGAUGCGAAAGUGGAUAUUGACUUCAUAAAUUCAACACUACUUGACUUUGAUUGACAGGAGAGGCCAGAGAAAUAAGUGUGGAAGAUAUUAAAUCAUACAGCAACCCACAUUCACUCUUGUUGAGAAUAACUUAUGUAAAUAAAGAAUGUUACAGAUGGAAGUAUGUAAUUGUAAUUCCUGAAAACAGUGUAGAUGGAGAAAAAGUUUGAAAGUUCCCAGCACAAAGUGGAAACCUAAAUACUUGUGUUGUUUCCAUAAAACACCUGAAGAACAAAGCAUAAAUGAUACCAAAUGAGUAAAAACAACUCCAUGAUCAUUUACAUUAGAAGAAUCAUAUGCAAGACCAAUAAUGAUUUUUAAAAACUAAAGUUUUAUGUUGUGAGAUUAUCUAACAUCUUACAGAACUUUUCCCUUCUGUCAUAGGCACUUGCUCUGUAAUGUUAACUUACUUGAUUAUUAAAACCUCUAAAUCAGCUAGACACCUAAAGACCUACAUGGCUGACUAUAUAGCAUUGUUUCUUUAAGGUAAUUUAAACUGAAAAGGAGGAUAACACAUAUUUAAGUAAUAUGUAGCAAUUGUUCAGUUUUUCUUUUUUCUUAAAAUUUUAAAUUUUGCAAAUAAUUUCUUAAUUCAGUCUUGAAUGUUAUAAAAUUAUAUUUUUGUUAUUUAUAUAAAAUGAUAGAGUAUAGAAAAUGUAGAUGAUCAUUGCAAUGAUUUGUGUCACAUAAACCCAAUUGUGCACCCAAAUAGAUAGUUUGGAUCUUGUAGAAAUAAAGUAUUUUAUUGUGGACCAGAAUGAUUGGUAUGAAAGUAUUAUAUAGCCCAUAUCCUAAAAUAUCAUCUUCAUAGUACAUACAUGUGCACUGGAAAAUUCGGUCUCAAAAAUUAAUGAAAUCAAGAUUUUUUUUAAAAAAAGCUUUGCAUAUUGAUUUCAAGAUUUUUUCCUAAAAAACUGCAUAUUGGUUUCUCAGUUACUUGUAUAACUAUUCCAAAUCUCUUUUUUCCCAUAUGAACAAUAUUCUUCAGACAUAAGUAGUUUGUUGGGUCCACAUUAAUUAUAUGUGAACUGUCUUUCAUCUAAUGGCAAAAGGAUAAGAUUCACUGAAUCUCUUCUUUAUAUACAAAGAGAAAAAAGCAAUUUCAAUAUACUAUACUUUCUUAAUAGAUGCCGAUACUUGGAAAGAGCACUGAAACUACUUUUAUGACUAUAGAAACAUAUUGAUUCAUCAUUUAAGUAGUUCUCCUAUUUUAGCUUAAAAGUAAAAUCUUCAGAUCUGGAAGAGCUCUAGAGGUGAAUUAGUAGUAUGCAUGCAUUAAUUCAUGAAAAGUUCAAACUGGUCUUGAGAUGGCAUUUUAAAGUGUUGACGAAGUUUAAUCAUUCUUUUCUUAGGUACUGGAUAUGACCUCAGCUUAAGUUUUGUAUUGACUUCCAGCAGAGGUUCUGUACUGCUGUUUUUACUUCCUUCGUUAAAGUACUCAACAUAUUAACUGAAACAAUCAAUCAGAUAUACAUCCACUAAUAUUCAUGACAUAUAGUAUUAUCUCCUAUAUUUAAAUUAAUAGUUAUUACAUAUACUACAUGCCAUUGCUUUCUUUUUUUAUUAUGUAUUUUCUAUUUUAGUUACCUCUCAGUGAAAAGUGAUUUAGAAAUUGUGUCAGUUUUGCAGAUAAAAUAUGUGUACAGAUGUUAAGUGCACAUUCAAAAUUGGCAGUACUUAACUCAGCCGGAGAAUGGGGAUCUGUUUUAAGUGUGCACGUUGUAAUUAUUUAAAGCUUUGUACAUUUGGCAUUUACUACAUGAACAUGUACCCUUCACAGUGCAAAUGUUUCCUGUAAGUGGUAUGUGAGUACUAGCUGAUAAAGCUUUGGAGGCACUUAAGCACCUAAUAGAGGUUUGGGGUACAGUGAGUAUGAAGUGUUUUAAUGAAUCAUGAGAUUUUUAAAAGUAGCAUUGAUGCCACACUUUUUAUCUGUGAAAUGAUUUGCAUUCUCAUUUUCAGAUAAGAGAACUUGAAUCCUAGAGUAGUCAUAGGAACCAUGAAUGGCUACUUCAGAGUACGACUAGAGAAUAAAGUAUAUUUCCUAGCGUACCAUUUAUAUGGAGACAUUUCUAAAGGAAAGGUAUUGGAUGGGGUAGGAAACAUCAAAAUGUUACUGUGUUCUGUGAAUUUUUAUCAAAAAUAGAUGAAGUAAUUAAUUCUGGAUCAAAAUAAAUGCUUUCUUGAUCACAGUCAUUAAGUGGCCAGGUUUGUUUCUUAUCUGUUGACUUAGUUAACAGAUACAGAACACUACUGUUUUAGUAAUUAUGGUGUAGUUUCUAUCAUCCACUUCUACAUUGAGCUCCUUCAGGGAAGGGGUGAUUGUUUAUUAAUCUUUUUGUUCACAUAAAGUGCCCCGACAUAAUGGGAAAUUAAUAAUAUUUGUUGGAUUUAUAAUGAUGCAAUUGGACAUUUCUGGAAAGAAUUCACCCAUGUUGAAAAAUAAAUCAGUGGAUUUGAAGCUUGGGUAAUUCGAAUCUCAUAAAAGAUUUCUUAAGAAAACACUAGCAUAGCGUUCAUAUGGCCCCUAAAAUGCUAAGCAUAAUUUAUACCCCCAUAUGGAUAGACCUCUUUGCAUCCUUUGAUAAUAUGGGUCAUUUAUAGGGGUGAAGGAUGAGUUGAAUCUUCUCCACACCAAAAUAAAGCAUGUUCUUAACUGAUCCCUGAGUCAGGAAGCCACAGGUAGUAAUAUCUUCCUAACAUCUUCCUCCCUUUGCUUGGUUAUGUGGAUGUGCCUUAUGCAUAAUUACAAUUAAAUGCAAUUGUGCAUCAGCAAAGAUUUUUGGUUAGCAUACCACAGCCAACUACAAGUAGCUGCCAAGUUUUUCUCUCUUGGUGAGAAAUAUAAGAAAAACUGGCCAGAAUUUUAGAGAGAAUAAUAACUUAUACCUACAAAAUUUUCAUUUUUAAUGUACUUAAAUAUAUAUUGAGGACAAAUGUUAUUUGAUCAGUUAAAUCAAGGCAUCACCUGAUGUUAUUGUGAAGUUCCUUAUAUAGUAUGUUUAGAAUUUUUUUUCCUUCUAAGUGUAAGGGGAUUUGUGUGUGUUUGUGUGUGUGUGUAUGUGACAUGCCUUAGUCUUGCCCUUACCUGAGAAGUCUACUAUGAAUUUUGAAGAUCCAAAAUUUUAUGAUGCAGAUUUCCCAGGAGAGUUUAUGUUCUGAAAUACUGUUACAAAUAGCGGCACAAGUGGACGAAGGACUGAGUUCUAUCAGACAUUAAUUUGUAAUUAAAGAAUAUAAUAUUUUAGAAGUCUGAGUAAAUUAUUCAUAGGAAUUUGGUGCUUAGUAGGUUGCCAGGGAGUGAGCUUACACGGGAACUUUAGAAUAAGAUCCCCACUUCUUAAGUAGAAGUCUUUAUUUCUAGAACAAUUUUUUUACUUUAAAGUAUCUGUAAAAAAAUGUACAUUGUUAGUGAUUUUGAAAUAGUAGUAUAAUGGCAUACGAAUUUUUUAUGAAAAUGUGGAGUAUCUUAGCCUGUUGGACAGUUGUUAAUAUUUUUAGAAUUAAUAUCUAUAUAAAUUACAGAUAUUCAAGUAAGCCAGAUUUGUGUUUUUACUUGGAUAUGCAGAAUGAACAAGGACAGGGAUUUUCCCAAUGUCUUAUAGUUGUGCCCAAAUAAAUUUAUUAUUGCAAAUGUGAUGGAACCAUCACCUUUCUUUAUUGCUAUGUAGUUUUACAAUGGUUUUUGAAUACCCAAGCUAACAUUUUAUUUUAAAUGGGUUAUAUUUUAUCUUCUAAUAUCACCUGAAGAGUCUUAAAAUCAGCAGUAAGUUAUAUCCAAGGAAAUUGGAUUCUAUCAUAGAAAUAGAAACCCCCACCUAGCAUGCAUUGUUUGCUUCAAUAAUUGCUUGUGUUCAAUUUUGGGAUCCAUUGUGUCUUUGAGCUUUUAAUGCUUUGUUCAUUUACUCAUGUACUAACAAAUAUUAAAGUGAUCUGUAUGAAUGCUAUGUAUUUUCAACCAACCAAUUUUAGUCUUACAAUCCAAAAUAAAAUCUUCAAAACUGCACCUGUUUCUGAGAUUCAUUGGUUUUCCUACUGUUCUUUAUAUAUAUACACACA
rnacentral:lncRNA from 1 species